rnacentral:rRNA from 1 species
UUAUCGGAGAGUUUGAUCCUGGCUCAGGACGAACGCUGGCGGCGUGCCUAAUACAUGCAAGUCGAGCGGACAGAUGGGAGCUUGCUCCCUGAUGUUAGCGGCGGACGGGUGAGUAACACGUGGGUAACCUGCCUGUAAGACAGGUAUAACACCUGGAAACCGGGGCUAAUACCGGAUGCUUGUAAGAACCGCAUGGUUCAAACA